rnacentral:rRNA from 1 species
AUGACCGGGCGGGCUAUCUGGAUAUUCGAGACCGGCAUGAGGCGCACUAGAUGCUCUUAUAGAGUACAUGAACUUUGGCACCCACUGCGUGUGAUGACUCCAUCGUCAUCGACGAGGUCAUUGGAUCACUAUACGCCCACAGCCACAGCACAGCAGAUCAUGUUCCCUUUCCUGUCAACUCUGUUGACCCGGACUCGUGUGCGAAUUGGGGAGCCGCCUGUUGACCGCUGCUCAUUUCGGUCCAAUCCCGCAGCACACCUACCCUGUCUGGUCUUCUCCACGCGUACGCGCGCCACCAACCCCACCUCACACCGCUAA